rnacentral:rRNA from 1 species
GGUGAACGUUGGCGGUGCGUCUAAUACAUGCAAGUCGAGCGAGGUUUCGAACCGAGCGGCGAACGGCUGAGUAACACGUUAGUAGCUGCCCCGUACUCAGGGAUAACAUCAAGAAAUUGGUGCUAAUACCGGAUGGUCUCGUAAGAGUAAAGCUUUUGCGGUACGGGAGGCGCUUGCGGUCUAUCACGCUUGUUGGUGAGGUAAAGCUCACCAAGGCUAUGACGGAUAGCUGGUCUGAGAGGAUGAUCAGCCAGAGGGAGACUGAGACACGGCUCCCACUCCUACGGGAGGCAGCAGUAAAGAAUCUUCCACAAUGGGCGAAAGCCUGAUGGAGCGACACCGCGUGCAGGAUGAAGGCUUUCGGGUCGUAAACUGCUUUUCUGGGGGAAGAAUUAUGACGGUACCCUAGGAAUAAGCACCGGCUAACUCCGUGCCAGCAGCCGCGGUAAU